UAAUAUAAGAUUUGUAUGGAGUUGGAACGUUUGCCUACGUUUGCCGCUAGGGGCGCUAGUCCAACUGCAUACAAGUUUGAGUUA
rnacentral:pre_miRNA from 1 species